rnacentral:lncRNA from 1 species
CCGGCUUCCCAGGGGAUCUCAACCAACAAUUCCUCAAAGAGGGAUGACACCGUGCAACAGAGCCCAGUGCAAACCCAACGCCAUCAGCUGCAGCCCCAGCUGCAAUGAAGUCUUGGACGUCUUCCCAUCUCUACAUCACCCCGAGAAGCUCCGGCUUCCCACCUGAGGUCAGCACUGCCCCACGCUUCCACUCGCAGCCGUACCCAUUGGAUUCCUGGAGAGGAACCACCGGAAUGGGGUGAAAAAUUGGCAGCAGACAGAAAGUACAUGGGCAAUCGCAUUAUAUACACACAAAGGAGUCAUAAAAAUUCCAGGAUGACGGAACAAAAUCCUUACAGAGCUCCACGGAUAAAAUACAACCGCGUUGGAAGGAGUUGGAACGGUCCACGGAGGGAGCACAGUGGCUGCAGCUCAUCGCAUGGAGAAACCCCUUCAUCCUCCAGUCAAUGAUCCCAUGGGGUCCCAACAAGGGGAGAGUCCACGGUGACAAACCACGGUGCUGCCAAUGUCCCCGAGGAGCCUUGGGAAGGGAGGAAAUCAAAAGCGCUUCCAGUCGAGAGAGGGUUUUGCUCUUCAGUUGUAGGGAAGAUAUUCCAAACCCAAACCACAAAGCAAAUAUCGUUAAGGGAGGCCGUGGUUUUGCUCGUUGGCUUUUUAGGGGGAUGUUUUUCAUCAGAAACGGCUGUUUAGUCUGCAGAGGGACUCAUGGAGGGGGCUGAGCAGUGCCCUGUGCUCUGCCCUGUGCAUGGCCAUGA